GGGGAGCUUACACCGCUAGGCCACCAGCGCCCCAUGUUAUGUUAUGUUAUGAUGCUGAGCGAUGAGGUCAGAGAGUGAGCUGCUGUAUGAAUGUUCACUGCACAGAGGAAGCAUCUCAAGCCUGCCAUGCUCCACAAAGGAGUGCCAGAGUGUGAGUUGAGAUCUGAAGCCUCUGACAAGGAUUGCUUUGCCAGAGGAAGUAAAUAUGUUCCAGAGGAAGAGGAAGAGGCCUACAGAUGAGGAGCAGGAGCUAUCAGACUUAUCAAAGAACGAGAGCAGCAAACACAGCUGAAGCCAGACCCACCCCCUGACGAGCUGCUGAUGAGAAAAAGAUGAGAAAUGAUGAAAAAAAAAACUGUGUACUGAGACUGAAGCCGGCUGGAUGCAAUACACAACGAGGGACCUCUGAUCUCCCAGCACAGAUCUGAAGCCUUUCCAGUGGGUCCUCAACUUUAAGGUUGCCUUUGUUGAUAUGAUGAUU